GAAAUGAAAAAUCAGGAGGUCUAGAAGGAGUCAUAGUUCCACUAAUCAGGAGGUCUAGAAGGAGUCAUAGUUCCACUAAUCAGGAGGUCUAGAAGGAGUCAUAGUUCCACUAAUCAGGAGGUCUAGAAGGAGUCAUAGUUCCACUAAUCAGGAGGUCUAGAAGGAGUCAUAGUUCCACUAAUCAGGAGGACUAGAAGGAGUCAUAGUUCCACUAAUCAGGAGGUCUAGAAGGAGUCAUAGUUCCACUAAUCAGGAGGUCUAGAAGGAGUCAUAGUUCCACUAAUCAGGAGGUCUAGAAGGAGUCAUAGUUCCACUAAUCAGGAGGUCUAGAAUGAGUCAUAGUUCCACUGAUCAGGAGGUCUAGGAGGAGUCAUAGUUCCACUAAUCAGGAGGUCUAGGAGGAGUCAUAGUUCCACUAAUCAGGAGGUCUAGAAGGAGUCAUAGUUCCACUAAUCAGGAGGUCUAGAAGGAGUCAUAGUUCCACUAAUCAGGAGGUCUAGAAGGAGUCAUAGUUCCACUAAUCAGGAGGUCUAGAAUGAGUCAUAGUUCCACUGAUCAGGAGGUCUAGGAGGAGUCAUAGUUCCACUAAUCAGGAGGUCUAGGAGGAGUCAUAGUUCCACUAAUCAGGAGGUCUAGAAGGAGUCAUAGUUCCACUAAUCAGGAGGUCUAGAAGGAGUCAUAGUUCCACUGAUCAGGAGGUCUAGAAGGAGUCAUAGUUCCACUAAUCAGGAGGUCUAGAAGGAGUCACAGUUCCACUAUUUAGGAGGUCUAG